GUUUCCGUCGUCUUUGGGUAUUUUUUUGGACAUUUGAAAGAUGGAGGCAACUUUGGACCGGCUGACGUAACGUUACAUGGAGGCGAUGUUUUCUGGACUAGUACCAGGUCAGAGAGCAUCUCGGAGCUGUCACGGCCAGGCUGCCCGCCGCGCGGGGACGAACCCCCUUCCGGUCCUUGCCGACACCGACGAGGCUCCCAGACCGCGGCGAGGACGGCGAGGACGGCGCGGCGGUGGAUGUGAUGGUGGGGAAGACGAUCAGCACCUGGUUCUCUGGAGAGUGGCUGUUGAAGUUGCCUCAAGGACGGAGACGGACGAAAGAAGGGGACUUUCUCUUUGACCGGUCCAUGAGCUGGACCACCCAGGAUUUGCAUAUUUGAGGUUUUUACUUUGCUUUUCUUACAUGCCUCCACUCAACGGUGUUGCAAAGUUUUCCCUGGACCAGACUUGUGGUAUACUUUGCACUCCCGCUCCUUAGUCACUGUCACUGGAACACAAAGGGCCCGACACACAGUCCUGCGUCCUGUCCCAGACUGUCUGACCUCGCCUCUCUGGAAACCUUUGCUGCCUCGCAAUGUUUGCUGAAAGAAUAUCCUCUUACUCUGCCGCAGAGCCAGAGCCCUUAUUCUGAACAACCACAGACCACUAAAAGAAGGUCGAGCGACUCCGGUCAAAGAGCCGAUUAAACAAAUGAAGUGUAAUUCACACCUGACAAGUUAAAGUGGAUUUUGUCUAUAUUUUUUGUUGUUGUCAUGUGUUCCCAACAUGUUGGCUUUCUAGAAGGUUUUCGAGGUCAA